UUUGGUGGUGAUAGCGAAGAGGUCACACCCGUUCCCAUACCGAACACGGAAGUUAAGCUCUUCAGCGCCGAUGGUAGUUGGGGGUCUCCCCCUGUGAGAGUAGGACGCCGCCAAGC
rnacentral:rRNA from 1 species